AUCGGUUUUGGUUCCCCCGCAAGGGGGCCAAGAGGGAAUCGGGUGAGAGUCCCGGACAGUCCCGCUGCUGUGAGUUCCAGAUGGUUACACAGCUUUUAACAAAACGGUCACUGCGGUGCCAGCAGGCGCUGUGGGAAGGCCAAAAGCUGUGAGGAACAAGUCAGAAGACCUGCCAAAGCCG
rnacentral:ncRNA from 1 species